AAAUUAUUGACUGCAGUUUUGAUGAUAUGCUGUUAAUUGUAAAUUCCAAUUGUGUAGAUUUGAAACUGUGUAUUAUAAUGUUUUGGAUGAUGUUAUUCCAAAUCCAGCAACGUAUCAAGAAUGGAUUUUGAAUAAUAAAAAAAAGUUCGCAUUUGUGUAUCGAAUUCUUUGAUUUGACAUCUUUUAACAUGUAUUCGAUUAAUAGUUAAAGAUAUAUUACGUAAAAAGGCAUGACAUGCUUAUUGACUUUUCGAACAUUUAGCUUGUAGUACCGGUUGUUAAGACAUCUAUGAGUAACAGUUUUAAAAUAUUAAUGUGCAAUUAGUUUACAUGUUCUAAUCAAUUUUAAUAAAAUAUUUG
rnacentral:lncRNA from 1 species